rnacentral:lncRNA from 1 species
GUGACAGUAUGCUGACCAGUGUUUUGGUAUUUUCUUUUUCUUUUUUUAUUUUUAUUUUUUGGAGACGGAGUUUCACUCUUGUUGGCCAGGCUGGAGUGCAAUGGCACGAUCUUGGCUCACCACGACCUCCGCCUCGGGUUCAAGCAAUUCUCCUGCCUCAGCCUCCCCGAGCAGCUGGGAUUACAGGUGAUGCACCCGCCUUGGCCUCCCAAAGUGCUGGGAUUACAGGCGUGAACCACUGCACCCGGCCUAUUCUGGUAUUGUCUUUGUCACCUGCAUCUGGGGUCGGGAAGGUGGAGACAAGGGGCUGGGUGUUCUCUUUCCCAUGCCUCAGAACAUCAUGGGCUGUCCAUACUUCCUGCCCUGGAGCUGGCUUUCCGGGAAGUGGGUUGUAGGCGGGGCUCCUCUGUGGGCAAGAUGGGGCAGGGCAUUGCCGGGUGUUCGCCUGUGCUCCUCCCAGUGUGUCAGGGCAGAGGAUGGCUGUCGCUGGGCUGCUUCUGGGUGGUUUGGGGUGGCCAGCAGCUAUGUUUCUGCCUUCUCCAACUAUGCCAAGGUGUCUGAGGGAGAGGCAACUUUGCAGGAUUCAGGUGGUGACUAACCUCUGCCUGGUGAGAGCCUGGGGGACAGCUUCGGGGGUCCUCACCUGUCUCUUGGCUCUGAGUUCCUAGGGUGGACACCUGACUCCCUUUGAGGCUUCUCAGCACUUUUGGAAGAAGGUUUUGAAGAUUUUAGUAGAAAACAAUAAAAGGAAUGAAAUAUAACAAUAUCAGAGUUUUUCUUCAGGUCCAGUGUUGUACCAUAACCUAGAAAGGGC